UAUAUAUGCUCACACUAACUUUCCAUACUUCCUUAUCAACAUGACUACUACUAAAUCUAUAUAUGUGUAUGUAUAUAUAAUACCCACCAGCCCAUUAUUUGCUUUCCAUUCCUCAGUCAAUCAUCAUCACCCCCACUCUUUUUUCACGUUACUCUAGUAUACAAAAGAAAGAAAAAACACAAAGGGUUUGGUCCCAAUCUUUUUUUUGUUACUCCCCUACGGUGGCAGAUCUGAAGGUCGGCGACGGUGAAUGGUGUUGUGGUUGUGGAUCUGAACGGCGAAGGAAACAGCGGCCAGUGGCGAAGCCACUUGAUGGUUAGAGAGGGCCAAAGCCCAUCCUGGUGCUUGAUAUCAAUAAUUUAUUACCUAGAAGUUUAGUGAAAUUCUAGUAAAUCAGAAGAUUUGGCCUAUCCUGUUUUACACGGCGGAUGUGAAGGGCUACAACGACAGCAGCAGUAGCAACGACGGAUCUGAAAGGCGACGACGACGAUGGUGGAAUAUAUCAGGCAUCUAAAGAAGCUUGUAUCAACAAAUCCGAGUUUUGUUUUACUUGAUUGUCUACAAUCAAUGGAAAUUGGAGGUGAUGAUGCUUCUUUGGUGGGUCCACUAGUGAUUUUCUUUUUUUCUAAUGGUUGGGAUUUGUCAAAGCUAGCUGAAGUCUCCGUUGAAGGUUUUACAUAGUGAUUAUUUGUAUAUAUAUUGUUUUAGAUUAAAUUUUGAAAUGUUGUUGACGAUGAAGAUGGUUGUUACUCAUUGAUUGGGUUUCGUUUUUUUAA